rnacentral:rRNA from 1 species
CCAAUAGCGUAUAUUAAAGUUGUUGCAGUUAAAAAGCUCGUAGUUGAACUUCGGGGUUUACCCAUUGGUCAGGCUUAAUUGUCUGUACUGGUGAGAUAAAUCUCUACCUUCUGAGGAACUUUCAUGCCAUUUAUUUGGUGUGAUUGGAAAUCAGGACUAUUACUUUGAAAAAAUUAGAGUGUUUAAAGCAGGCUAACGUCUGAAUAUAUUAGCAUGGAAUAAUGAAAUAGGACGGCUUGGUUCUAUUUCGUUGGUUUCUAGGAUCACCGUAAUGAUUAAUAGGGAUAGUUGGGGGCAUUAUUAUUCAAUUGUCAGAGGUGAAAUUCUUGGAUUUAUUGAAGACUAACUACUGCGAAAGCAUUUGCCAAGGAUGUUUUCAUUAAUCAAGAACGAAAGUUAGGGGAUCGAAGACGAUCAGAUACCGUCGUAGUCUUAACCAUAAACUAUGCCGACUAGGGAUCGGACGAAGUUAAUUUUAUAAUGACGCGUUCGGCACCUUACG